rnacentral:tRNA from 1 species
UGGGUUGCUAACUCAACGGUAGAGUACUCGGCUUUUACCGACUAGUUCCGGGUUCGAAUCCCGGGCAACCCA